rnacentral:rRNA from 1 species
GACGAACGCUGGCGGCGUGCUUAACACAUGCAAGUCGAACGAUGAAGCUGGAGCUUGCUCCGGUGGAUUAGUGGCGAACGGGUGAGUAACACGUGAGCAAUCUGCCCUUGACUCUGGGAUAACUGCGGGAAACUGUAGCUAAUACCGGAUACUUUCCUUGGUGGGCAUCCACUGGGGAAGAAAGAAUUUCGGUCAAGGAUGAGCUCGCGGCCUAUCAGCUAGUUGGUGAGGGAAUGGCUCACCAAGGCGACGACGGGUAGCCGGCCUGAGAGGGUGACCGGCCACACUGGAACUGAGACACGGUCCAGACUCCUACGGGAGGCAGCAGUGGGGAAUAUUGCACAAUGGGCGAAAGCCUGAUGCAGCAACGCCGCGUGAGGGACGAAGGCCUUCGGGUUGUAAACCUCUUUUAGCAGGGAAGAAGCGAAAGUGACGGUACCUGCAGAAAAAGCACCGGCUAACUACGUGCCAGCCGCCGCGGUAA